GGAGACAAGAAGAGUAACUGACGCCUAUUCUGUUGUCCUGACCUCCCUGUCCAUGAGCUGUGGCACCUUUGCCUUUCCUCAGAACAUGUAGCCUCAAUUUAGAAGGAGCUCCGUAAAGAAGGAGCUUGCAUGCUUCUGGAAAUCAAAAUGGAAAAUGAAAGGCAGGCCACCACACCCCUGAACUGCUCAAACAUGCAUGGCUUUCUCUAUUGUCCUCAGCCUAAGUGCUGCCUUUCUCUUAAAAUCAAUGUUCUGUUCCAUUUCUACUAAAUAACCAUAUGGAAUUUUCUCUCCUAAUUCAAGCCCCAGUCCAAGACCACGAUCUGGCCCCUGGUGACUAUAUGUAUUUUAAAAAAAAAAUUAAAGACCUGGAAAUUCCAGAGAAAAAUCUUAUUAAAAUUACUGGAACAGAUACAUGUCCCCGUGACAGAAAUUAGCUGCUCCUCCUUGUUCUCAUGAUGAUCAAGUUCUCACCACAUCAAGCCAGCUAACUGCUUCCUGAUUUUGGAAGCCACAAAUCUCUAUGUCCAUCACCUACUUGACACUUGGCCAAGUUCACUCACGUGAAAUCAAAUGUGCCUGUGCUUUUCAAACAUGUUCUGUAUUUUCUCUCUCCCUCCUGAAGCUGUGAUUCACAGGUCAUCCCUUUCCUGAUCUUUUUUUCAACUUAGAUUUUUCAGUCUUUGUCAAGGAGCCUUGGGUAUAACUCAGUAGAAGCCAAGCAUGUGUGAAUUUCAAUCUUGAUUCAAUCUCUAGCACCAAAAAAAAAAAAAUCUAAAUAAAAUAACCUAACGUAAAUAUGCUUAGAGUCUACUAUCUUGUAUAGACAGCAUAAUAACCUUCAGAAGAUGUCCAUACGCCAAUUCCUGAAGCAUGUGAACAUGUUGUUUUACACAGCAAAAGACACUGGUAUGAUAAAGCUAAAAGUCUUGAGUUUGGGAGAUUUUCCUGGGCCAGACAUAUGGGCCCCAUGGAAUCACAAGAGGUUUUGUAAGUGAAAGAGGGAAGCAGGAGAGUCAGAGGAGGAGAGGAUAUGGCAAUGGAAGUAGAGGUUGGAGUGAUGAACUUUGAAAAUGGUAAAAUGAGACAUGGGAGAAGGGAAAGAGGUGAUUCCAGAAGUUAGAAACCCAAGAAAACAGUCUCUCCCUAAGAUCCUUCUGAAGGAACCUGACUUUAGCCCACAUCUGACUUCUGGCUUUCAGAAGUGCAAGGUAAAUUUGUGCUAUUUCAGGCCACUAAGUUGAUGAUGAUUUGUCUAUUUAUAAGUGUCUGUGGCUUUUAUGGAACCCUCAACACUCUGUAGAAAGCAAGAUCAGUUACCACUAAUGUAAAAACAAUAAAAGAUUUGAAUAUCACACUGAAGGAGAAAAUGGUUAAGUACCAUAAGGCAAUUCUUGCAUCUUUUAUUUGAAAGGAUUUUUCUCCAAACUGGAUAACUUUCAAAUAAAGAAAUGUGGUUAUAUUGUUACACUAAGUAAUUUUCCACUUCUUAAGAAAAAUGGUUUUGCAGAACAGAAUUAGUGUUUGUAGCAUUUGUCAUUUUUUGUACUGUUCUUCAUGAGGAAGAGACUUUCCUCUACCUUAUUAUGCCCUGUGUCUGGAGGCCUCAAAUAAAACUAACAAAAGAAAUAUUAGUGGGAGAAAAAAGGCACAUGACCUUUAUAGGAGUUCACCAAAAAAAAGAAGGAAAAUUCAAGAAAGCAAUUAACCUUGGGGGCUUAUAUGCUCUUUUACCAAUGAAAACAGGGUUUGGGGGUUAAAGGGAUCAUGAAUUGUGGGGAAAUGACUAAAAAUAUUAGGAGAGAACUAAAGGAAGGUAAGGGCUAUUUCAGUAGGGUCUGUUUGUGUAAAUUUAUCUUGGUGUAGACUCCCUGUCUUUGACUAUAAGACUCACUUUUCUCUCUGAUGGGGAGGAGGUAGGAGCUUAUGGUGGGGCAAACUGAGUGAGUGACCUGUCAAUCAUGGAAGACCCAGAACACAUGGCCAAAACAUUCAUGACUAUGCAAGUUCCUGAACCCUUUGUGUGAGACUGACUGGACCAACUGAAAAGUGCCAUCUCCAAUUUUUCAUUGACAUCUGGUGCAAAACCAAGCAGACUUUUGAUCUGAUGUCAGGCCUAGUGAGUUUCUGGUAGGACGCCCAUCCCAAUGCCUUGUUUCCAUGGGAAUGAAGCCAUCUAGAAAUGGGACAUACAAAAGAACCUGACCGUUAGUCUCCUGGCCACUGGGAACUUUUU